GACGAACGCUGGCGGCGUGCUUAACACAUGCAAGUCGAACGGAAAGGCCCUGCUUUUGUGGGGUGCUCGAGUGGCGAACGGGUGAGUAACACGUGAGUAACCUGCCCUUGACUUUGGGAUAACUUCAGGAAACUGGGGCUAAUACCGGAUAGGAGCUCCUGCUGCAUGGUGGGGGUUGGAAAGUUUCGGCGGUUGGGGAUGGACUCGCGGCUUAUCAGCUUGUUGGUGGGGUAGUGGCUUACCAAGGCUUUGACGGGUAGCCGGCCUGAGAGGGUGACCGGCCACCUUGGGCCUGCGAUACGGCCCAGACUCCUACGGGAGGCAGCAGUGGGGAAUAUUGCACAAUGGGCGGAAGCCUGAUGCAGCAACGCCGCGUGCGGGAUGACGGCCUUCGGGCUGUAAACCGCUUUCGCCUGUGACGAAGCGUGAGUGACGGUAAUGGGUAAAGAAGCACCGGCUAACUACGUG
rnacentral:rRNA from 1 species